ACCUUCAUGGUGUAGUGGUCAGCACGUUCGGCGCGUAUUCGAGACGUCCGGGGUUCGAGUCCCGGUAAGGGCA
rnacentral:tRNA from 1 species